CCUACGGGUGGCAGCAGUGAGGAAUAUUGGUCAAUGGACGGAAGUCUGAACCAGCCAUGCCGCGUGCAGGAAGACGGCUCUAUGAGUUGUAAACUGCUUUUGUACAAGGGUAAACCUGAAUACGUGUAUUCAGCUGAAAGUACUGUACGAAUAAGGAUCGGCUAACUCCGUGCCAGCAACCGCGGUAAUACGGAGUAUCCAAGCGUUAUCCGGAUUUAUUGGGUUUAAAGGGUGCGUAGGCGGCUUGAUAAGUUAGAGGGUAAAUGUCCGAGCUUAACUCGGGAACUGCCUCUACUACGGUUGAUCUAGAGAGGAGAAGGGGUAGGCGGAAUGUAUGGUGUAGCGGUGAAAUGCUUAGAGAUCAGACAGAAAACCGAUUGCGAAGGCAGCUCACCAAUCUAUAUCUGACGUUGAGGAACGAAAGCGUGGGGAGCAAACAGGAUUAGAUACCCUAGUAGUC
rnacentral:rRNA from 1 species